rnacentral:rRNA from 1 species
AUGGCCGGAAUUGUCAACAAGGAGUUUGCUGAGUUGGCCCAGACAGGGCUAAACUACCUGUCAUGGUCCUCGGACUGCGAGAUCUUUCUCCAGGGCAAAACCCUCCUGAGGGUGAUCGGUAAGGGGGCCCAGCUGGCCCCCACCUUUCCCAAGUUCGAAACUGAGAAUGCGCAGGCUCUGCAUUUUCUCCAUCAUCACCUGUCACCUACUCUGAAAGAUGAGUAUAUGGCUGAGCGCAGUGCUUCUGGCCUUUGGACCGCUCUUAAGCAGCGGUUUGAGCGGCUGAAGUACACUGUGAAGCCACGUGCAGAGGCAGAGUGAAUCCGCCUGAGCCAGAAGAUUGAGAAAACCCUAUCCACUUUCCACCCUGACGCGGUCUAGUCCUCACGGAACUACCGCCAGGGCAACUACACGAGGUAUUCAGAGUUGAUUGACGUCGUCCUCCAGGUGGAGGAGGCGCAGGACGAGGUUCUAAAAAAAACUUUGUUGCACAACCACUUGGGGGGAGUUCUCGCCAGGAGGUGAAUGCUCUCAAAGUCCGCAAGCCUCAACAGAAGAAGAGGGGCCGCAAGGUUCUGCAACGUUCCCCAACACUUCUGUUAUGGCUCGGUGGAGCAUUUCUCCCGCCAGUGCCGCACACCACCGGAGGUCGUUGAAGCAUACAAGGAUCGGAAGGCGCGUGAGACACACCUCGCCUUGGUUCAGGAGAGAGCACCACUGGCGCCCAUGGCGGCACACGUGAUGAUCUCUACGCCCCCUGCUGCUCCCAUAAAGGCGACCCCCGUGGUGCCCAUUGUGGCGGCUUUGGUAGUCUCUAAUGACGCCCACGUCACCAUGGAGGUUGACCGCAUGGUCACCUCGGCGGUGCCACAACUAGAUGUUGAUGCUGCCUCCAAGAUGAUUUCUAAGGAGGAUCGGCUCACUAGUAUGGAGAUUGCGCCUAAUCUCUUUCCACAACUUCUUUUGUUCCUGCUAAACUCAACCUGA